GAAUAUUAAGUAUGGAGAGUUUUAUGUUAUAAACAAAAAUGAAAAACCCUAAAAAGCCCCGGCCCGCGUGCGGUUAGUUUAAAUUAAAUUCUUGUGUUUCGUCUGUCUCACUGCAUCUCUUCUGCCUGGUCUGGUGGUUGUUCACCCUCGUUGGUUCCAUUCUCACGCAUGGAAGCCAUCGUAAUUCCAUAGCUGACUCCUCGCUGAAGAGCGAUCACGGCCCUCGCCUCCAUGGCCUCUGUGCCAUUCGCAACCAGAAUCAAAACCUAGCUGAGUACCUCAAAUCGCGUCGGUGAUCCCUCCAGUCAUUCGAUGGAGAAUCUCGCCUUUCGAUCGGUGGUAGACGUCAUGGCCCAGAGCCCGAGAUGUCACUUCUUGUUAUAUUAGCCUCAGGAGGUUUAUCUUAAAUUAACAUACAAAUGCAAGUUUGGAUCCCCAAAUGGAUAUUCCAAAUCUCCAACAAUCUAUCAGAUAGGAUAACGGGCAAAAAACCUAUCAACCAGGGCAAGAGAUUCCUCGGGCUUGUACUCUGGAGCUGUGUGUCCGGCUCCCUGCACAUGGCAAGAGUAUUGAGCUCUAAAUUCAGCUGAUCGUGUGUCUGAGGUGUUGUAAGCGUCUGAAGUAGUUGCAUAUGAGAAUCCAGCUCCACAAGGCUGAUCUAUAAAUAUUAUGCUAGCAACCUGUGUAAUCAUUACCUCUUCCAGAUGAUGUGAAGGGGAAUUUUGCACCUUGGUCCAUGAAUGUGGAUUCUGCCCAAGUGUUGGAAUGCUUCCAUUGAAGGCUCCAACAUCAAAAGUUAAAGGACCUAUACAGAAGGAAGGAAAAGGAUGUCAAUCGUGCAGAGAAACAGGAAACAGGGGAAAGUUCACCAAUUUCAAAUGCCAGAGCAGCCAAACCAGAGCAGCCAGGGCCGCUGGAGAUCCACAGCAGAAGAGGGUCUGUAACUGGGUUCCUCUCUGACUCUAUGAAAUAGUAAAAUAGUUGCACCUCAUCUGCAUCUCCCACUCCAAUAUACCUGCCAACAUCACCCAACGAAUUUAAAUAAAAUCAUCAAUAAAAAAUUAAAGAAUUUAAAAAAUUGAAAAAAUGUCAAUGUCGUUGCAUUGCGAGGUUCACCCAGUUUCAAGCUUAAACGGGAGCGUCCCGGGAAAGCCAGGCAGCGUCUCCACGACCGUUUGCGAAACAGCAAUGCAGGCAAAAGUACUGAACAUGAGGAGGAGAAGAAAAAUCAGGGUCCCCAGACACGCCCUAGCGGUGCUGCCCUGCCGGUUCUCCGCAUAAUAAGCGGGUGCUAGAGCCAUGCCUACUAAUUUUCCGAAGAAAGAGUGAAAGGAACAGAGAGGCCCCGAGGUAACACAAAC